GAUGAACGCUAGCGGCGGGCCUAAUACAUGCAAGUCGAACGAGAUUAUUGGUAGCAAUACUGAUAUGAAAGUGGCGCACGGGUGCGUAACACGUAUGUAACCUACCUUUAACUGGGGAAUAGCUUCGAGAAAUCGAAAUUAAUACCCCAUAACAUUUAGAAAAGGCAUCUUUUCUUUAUCAAAGUUCAGGCGGUUAAAGAUGGACAUGCGGUGCAUUAGCUUGUUGGUGAGGUAAUGGCUCACCAAGGCUACGAUGCAUAGGGGGUCUGAGAGGAUGAUCCCCCACACUGGUACUGAGACACGGACCAGACUCCUACGGGAGGCAGCAGUAGGGAAUAUUGGGCAAUGGACGAAAGUCUGACCCAGCCACGCCGCGUGAAGGAUGACUGCCCUAUGGGUUGUAAACUUCUUUGUAUGGGAAGAACCUCCGAACGUGUUCGGAGCUGACGGUACCAUAAGAUAAGCAUCGGCUAACUACGUGCCAGCAGCCGCGGUAAU
rnacentral:rRNA from 1 species